rnacentral:rRNA from 1 species
ACGGGAGGCAGCAGUGGGGAAUCUUGCGCAAUGGGCGAAAGCCUGACGCAGCGACGCCGCGUGCGGGAAGAAGGCCUUCGGGUUGUAAACCGCUUUCAGGAGGGACGAAGCCACUCGGGUUAAUACCCCAGAGGGUGACGGUACCUCCAGAAGAAGCCCCGGCUAACUACGUGCCAGCAGCCGCGGUAAUACGUAGGGGGCGAGCGUUGUCCGGAUUUAUUGGGCGUAAAGAGCGUGUAGGCGGCCAGGUAGGUCAGCUGUGAAAACUCGAGGCUCAACCUCGAGAUGUCGGCUGAAACCAUCUGGCUAGAGUCCGGAAGAGGAGAAUGGAAUUCCCGGUGUAGCGGUGAAAUGCGCAGAUAUCGGGAAGAACACCCGUGGCGAAGGCGGUUCUCUGGGACGGUACUGACGCUGAGACGCGAAAGCGUGGGGAGCGAACAGGAUUAGAUACCCUGGUA